AUUGAACGCUGGCGGCAGGCCUAACACAUGCAAGUCGAACGAGUGGCGGACGGGUGAGUAAUGUCUGGGAAACUGCCCGAUGGAGGGGGAUAACUACUGGAAACGGUAGCUAAUACCGCAUACCAUCAGAUGUGCCCAGAUGGGAUGGGCUGGUAGGUGGGGUAAUGGCUCACCUAGGCGACGAUCCCUAUCUGGUCUGAGAGGAUGACCAGCCAAACUGGGAGUGAGACACGGCCCAGACUCGUACGGGAGGCAGCAGUGGGGAAUAUUGCACAAUGGGCGCAAGCCUGAUGCAGCCAUGCAGCGUGUAUGAAGAAGGCCUUAGGGUUGUAAAGUACUGUCAGCGGGGAGGCGUUACCCGCAGAAGAAGCACCGGCUAACUCCGUGCCAGCAGCCGCGGUAAUUC
rnacentral:rRNA from 1 species